AGACUCUCCAGCCGGCCGCUCUGGUGUGGGGAGGGAGCGUCAUCUCAAGGACACUGAAAAAGCUGUUUGCCGUUUUGCUGUUUGCCUCCUUGUCACGACCUCAGCGACGGCAGAUGGAGCCAGUGGAGGGAGAGAGACAGACGGCAAUGCUUGGGUAGCCAGGGCUCCCUGCCGGCCCCACUCCUCCUGCAGACACGAGCACGCACACACACACGCGCGCAAAACACACACGCUGCCCUUCGCCACACGUAGCCAAGUAAAAUACACAAAAAGCAACUGAGAUACCAUUCGCACAUGACCACAUGGAAACACACAAAUGAACAAACGCAUUCAGGCAUAGCCACAUGCCAGUCACACAGAUGGAUAGACAAGAGCCUGGGGUACAAAGCCACAUGGCACAAAGCCACCUGGAUGUAUAUGCCCCUACACACGCACACAGAAAAAAACAUGCAAACUUAAGUACACACCUAUCCAGACAAGUGUGAGUGCACACACACACACACUCACACACUCUACCUGACACGUUAGUGCAUCCCCAUUGGGCCCCAGUUUCUCUCAGCAAAUUCAGAUCACCCAGCCUG
rnacentral:lncRNA from 1 species